UCAAGAACAUUUGGCAAUGGGGGAAACCCUGAUCCAGCGACGCCGCGUGUGUGAAGAAGGCCUGCGGGUUGUAAAGCACUUUCGGUGGGAACGAAAUGUGCCGGGCUAAUAUCCCGGCAAGCUGACGUUACUCAAUGAAGAAGCACCGGCUAACUCUGUGCCAGCAGCCGCGGUAAUACGAAGGGGGCUAGCGUUGUUCGGAAUUACUGGGCGUAAAGCGCACGUAGGCGGAUCUAUAAGUCAGGGGUGAAAUCCCGGGGCUCAACCUCGGAACUGCCUUUGAUACUGUAGAUCUCGAGUCCGGAAGAGGUGAGUGGAAUUCCUAGUGUAGAGGUGAAAUUCGUAGAUAUUAGGAAGAACACCAGUGGCGAAGGCGGCUCACUGGUCCGGUACUGACGCUGAGGUGCGAAAGCGUGGGGAGCAAACAGGAUUAGAUACCCGUGUAGUCCCUGAGCGGGCUGGCAAGGCGCAU
rnacentral:rRNA from 1 species